UACGGGAGGGUGCGAGCGUUAAUCGGAAUUACUGGGCGUAAAGCGCGCGUAGGCGGUUUGUUAAGUCAGCUGUGAAAGCCCCGGGCUCAACCUGGGAACUGCAGUUGAUACUGACCGACUAGAGUACGAGAGAGGGAGGUAGAAUUCCAUGUGUAGCGGUGAAAUGCGUAGAUAUAUGGAGGAAUACCGGUGGCGAAGGCGGCCUCCUGGCUCGAUACUGACGCUUGAGGGUGCGAAAAGCCGUGGGGGGAUCAAAACAGGG
rnacentral:rRNA from 1 species